GGAGACUUCCACUGACGAAAUUACAUUGACGCUGCCUUGUUAGCAAGCGAGUAACAGAAAGACUCAACUAAGUCUCAUGCCGAUGCCGAUGGCGAAAUCAAGCCUCCGAUCCGUCGCCUCCCUUUGCAGCCGCGCGGCCAAGCUCGGCACCAGGAGCUUCUCCUCUGCCGCUCGUUAUGACGAAACCUAUGAAGCGGAGAAAUGGGAGAAGAUCUCGAUCGCGGGAAUCGUCACCUGCGCUGUCCUCUCGAUCUAUAAUCUGUCCAAGGGCCAUCACGAGCAUCCCGAGCCUCCGCCUUACCCAUAUCUCCGCAUCCAGAAGAAGGAUUUCCCUUGGGCUACAUCUUCUGCUGAAAAUUCCUCGUCGCAUACAACAGCUGACAGCAAGCACUGACGCAAAUUCUGAUGUAAACCUCUUCCUUCACAGUGCUCAACAUACCACAUUCGCUCCUGAUAAAGAUCCCUGACUCUGCUGCAAGUACAUCUGAAAACAUAGACAUUAUUAUAGUUGGUCCAGAACCCCUCACAGAGCACAUCAAAAAGAAGUCCUCCAAGCAGUAGCAUACCUUUACAAGGAUGCUUACAUCCACAACAAUUACUGCCUAGCUUUAAUAAGAUAUUUGGUGAAAUAAAGAAGGAUAUAUAUAUAGGUCUGAAAAUAUAUGAUCUGUUGUAAUAGCAUGAUAAAAAAUUGUAUUGAAUUUGAUUGUUAAGAUGUCUGGUAGACUUGAACUGUUGGGGAAACAUCGGAUACAUUUUAUGUUUUA